AACUAAUGAACUUGAAUAAGUAUAUAUUUUGAAAAUAUAUGAAAGAAAUAACAACUUUCUAUUAGUUU
rnacentral:tRNA from 1 species